rnacentral:tRNA from 1 species
UCCCAUGUGGCUCAGUUGGUAGAGCAUGGUGUUUGCAACGCCAGGAUUGUGGGUUUGAUUCUCACGGGGGAC